AGUGAACGCUGGCGGUAGGCCUAACACAUGCAAGUCGAACGGCAGCACAGUAAGAGCUUGCUCUUACGGGUGGCGAGUGGCGGACGGGUGAGGUAUACAUCGGAAUCUACUUUUUCGUGGGGGAUAACGUAGGGAAACUUACGCUAAUACCGCAUACGACCUACGGGUGAAAGCAGGGGAUCUUCUGACCUUGCGCGAUUGAAUGAGCCGAUGUCGGAUUAGCUAGUUGGCGGGGUAAAGGCCCACCAAGGCGACGAUCCGUAGAUGGUCUGAGAGGAUGAUCCGACACACUGGAACUGAGACACGGUCCAGACUCCUACGGGAGGAAGCAGUGGGGAAUAUUGGACAAUGGGCGCAAGCCUGAUCCAGCCAUACCGCGUGGGUGAAGAAGGCCUUCGGGUUGUAAAGCCCUUUUGUUGGGAAAGAAAAGCAGCAGGUUAAUACCCCGCUGUUCUGACGGUACCCAAAGAAUAAGCACCGGCUAACUUCGUG
rnacentral:rRNA from 1 species